AACGAACGCUGGCGGCAUGCCUAACACAUGCAAGUCGAACGAGACCUUCGGGUCUAGUGGCGCACGGGUGCGUAACGCGUGGGAACCUGCCCUUAGGUUCGGAAUAACUCCCCGAAAGGGGUGCUAAUACCGGAUAAUGUCUUCGGACCAAAGAUUUAUCGCCUUUGGAUGGGCCCGCGUUGGAUUAGCUAGUUGGUAGGGUAAAAGCCUACCAAGGCGACGAUCCAUAGCUGGUCUGAGAGGAUGAUCAGCCACACUGGGACUGAGACACGGCCCAGACUCCUACGGGAGGCAGCAGUGGGGCAUAUUGGACAAUGGGCGAAAGCCUGAUCCAGCAAUGCCGCGUGAGUGAUGAAGGCCUUAGGGUUGUAAAGCUCUUUUACCCGGGAUGAUAAUGACAAUACCGGGAGAAUAAGCUCCGGCUAACUCCGUG
rnacentral:rRNA from 1 species